rnacentral:lncRNA from 1 species
AGGCCACAGAUGUUGUGAGUAACAUCCUCCUUAGAUGCCACCUAGCAGGACAUACUGUGGCUGGAGAAGAGCAACAGAAGCAGAUGUGAGGUACCCUGUGGCAAGAACCCAGUACAGACUUGGGAGGGUCCAGAAGAAGUUCUCAGAAGCUGCCUCUCUGGAAGCUUAGGGAAGUCUCAAAUAGAAAGGAUCUUUGGGACAUACCAUCAGUCUGUGGGGGACAGUACUGGUGGUGCCAAGCUCCCCAGCUAAUUUUUAUGAAGCUACCACAUGGCUGUGAAAUCAAGACUUCCCCAGUUAUGUUCUGAAAGCCUAACCUGCUCAGGGAAUCUCAUUCCUAAAACCUCAAGACUCGAAGCAGAGAGGAGGAAGCCAGGGAGACACUGACCACAGGGCACUGCUUCUUACCAGAUUGAUGAGCUCUGUGGGACACGGGAUGCUGAUGGUGGCACUUGUCCUGUAUCUUAAGCAUGCUGAGUACGAACAUACAUACAAUGAGGUGGCUGAGUGAAGUCCUAGACAUGUGAACUGGCAUGGCUGAGGUUGUCAUAUUGUACAUAUGUAGAUCAGCACACUGCACACUGUAGACAGCCUCAAUAAAGCUAGGCGAAUUGAGCCCAUAACACCUUAGUGAGCUGUCAAGCCUCUCCCCAGCUGAUGGCAAAAGACUAGGUAGGCAGGCUUCAUAAAAAAUGCACUGUUAAGUAUUUGCUCCCCUUCAUAGUUUGUGAUGUGCUAAUGGCACCUUACUCCUGGGUAUCCCAAACUCCUAACUCUGAUUUUGGGAAGGGGAAGGGGAAGGGCAACUGACACCAGUCUGGCAAGCACCAGGGGCAGUGUAACUGGUAACAGAAUGAGGUGAACUGGGUGUCUGAUGUCAGGUUUGCUGAGACAGGUCAGGGUCAGGGCUAUGGCAGGGAUGGAAGUGACAGAGUAUCUUUAGAUGACAUAAAGGAAAUUCCCUGGGGAAGCUGGUUUCACCUGCUAGGGAGUUAUAGCAGAGGGACAGCCAGGACCCAAGAGGAAAGAUGGGGCUGGGAACAACCUAGGGCCUCUGGAACAGGCUAUCAUUGCCCAGGAGCUCAUAGGUGUAAAAGAGGUGGCAACAGGGCUAUGGAUGCAGAGACAGACCACGGGGCUCAGAACAUGGCAGAGGGCUCAAAGAACUUCCUUUAGGCCCUGGGUAGAGAAUGGCAGGGAAGUGUAAGCUGCAGUCGGGCUAGAAAAGUUGAAGUAUAAGCACUGGGAUGCAGACAGCAGGUCAGGACCAGGGAUGGCUACCUUCAGGAGGCAUAAGUAGAGGCAGAGGUAGAAAGGCGGGCCUAGAAGGAUAGGUGCUCAAGCAGUCAGAGCACGACAGAGGCCCUCUCUUCCUCCCUUCCUCUGUCUGUCUGUCUGUCUCUGUCUUUCCCUGUCUCUGUCUGUCUCAGUCUCUGUCUGUCUGUCUGUCUCUCUCUGUCUUUCCCUGUCUCUGUCUGUCUAUCUGUCUCUCUGUCUGUCUGUCUGUCUGUCUGUCUGUCUGUCUCUCUCUCUCUCUCUCUCUCUCUCUCUCUCACACACACACACACACACACACACACACACACAGGAGCGGGUCAAGAAAGGCAGAAAGGUAUCACCGCUGUAUGGCUGACCUGCCCAAGGUGACUCAGCUCUAAGAGGUUAUAAGUGCCCAGGGAUAGUGGCCCAUGAUGGACCUGAACUCAGGUCCCUCCCUACUCUAGCUAGGGUGGCACUCAGAAAACAAAGCAACUGUUCAAAGUAGGCCAUGACAGGUAGAAGCUGUCAUAGGAAGGGUGCAGGGUGUCUUCUGAGAGGAGGAGGCAGUGUAAGUGUGCUGUGGGCAGACAAGCUCCAUUCCUAACAUGUUUAUUACUCAACACUGGAGAAAGAUAUCAGAAGAGCAUGCAUGCCAUUCACCUCUCAUCUACAGCUUGGCUAAAGGAGAAACAGACAGAGGAGCCUUUCCUCCCAAUACCUUUAUGUGAACAGCUGAGCCUCAUGAUGCUCACAACAACAGUCUCUGUCUUAUGGCCCCACAGAUAUCCACUAACAACUUCUGUGAUCCUUUCUGGCUUGAACACGUCCUGUUUUCUGUUUGGUGUCAUGUCUCUUCAGUGUCCUUGUACCACCUAUGAUUCUGAGUACCUUCUAUUUUUCUUAAGGUUACAGUUCAAAGUAUCCCUCUGGACAACAUUCAACAUUCCUAAAGGCUGGAGUCUGCCUAGUUAAUCUAGGCAGGAAUCCUGAAAGUGACACGUAAGGGAAAGCAAUGUCCCCUUAGAACCCUGGGCUCCUGUUAGCUGGCCUGUCACCUCAAUGUCGACUGUCCAUGGCUGAGGAGGGUACCUCUGGGGAAGUUUGGGGGGUGGGAGGGAGUGCUCAAAUUAGUACAUGGUUGUGGCUUCUCCUAGCUGUGCCUGAUGCUGGGGAGGCCCAGACUUCCCUGUUUUCACUCCAAGUUGGGUACGGAUUGCUGACAGUAUGAGAGCUCACUGAUGCUACUACACAGGCAGGGCUGCAGCUUUGGCACGAUAUAGGCAGACAGAAACUCCAGAACAGGGAGCAGGGAACAGGGAGGCUCUCAAGGGGCCACAGCUUGGCUAGGCCUCCCUCUAGAGGAUGUCUAUCAGGGAUGCUGCCAUGGCAACAAGGGCCACUGAGAGCCCUGCCAAUGAUGCAGAACAGGCCAUGGCCUGCAGGGGCUGGGCCACUCUGCUUAGUACUGAUGCAGGUGCUGGUGCAACUAGACUUCAUGAGCUAUAGUCACACAGGAGUCUCUGUCCCCUUUGAACGUAUCUUUGCUUCUUUGUGGCCACAGAGAUGGGAUCUUCAAGCAGAGCUGGCUUAGGGAAGCAAACCUGGCCUCAGGCAACAUAACAAGAGAGGCCAGUAGGGAGGCAAGCAGUAGCUUGCCAACAUGUCAGUUCCUGUUGUCCAGAGGCCUCUUGACACCAGGACCGUGUUUUAUCAAGGGAUGAACACACACACACUACCAUAUCCAGAACAGCGGGAGUAAAACAUCAGACUAGAGUUCAGUGCCAGGACCCCACUGGCAAGCACAGGCAUUUAAAACUAUUGGAUGCUCAUAGUAAACCACCCAUAGCAGUCCAAGUUCUCAUAUAUAAAAGAGAGUGAGGCUCAGUGAGGCCAACGCUUGGCCUUCACAAAGAGCAAGUGAUCUUGUAGACCCACCAUUGCUGCAAGAACUGCUUUCAGCUAUGGGGAAGAUGUUCUAGGUAUAAUUUCUGACUUUUCAAAACAAGGCUGUGGUGAGGUGGAUAAGGAGGCAGCAAUACAAAAGGGUGCUUCCCUGUCAGGAUGGGCACUACACUGCUGCCCUCAACAGCCUUCUUUCCCUGGGCAAUUUCUCCCCUAGCAUGCUUUUAUGAAGUACAUUAAUGUGGACACAGCACUCAUGUCAGGAGCUGACACCCAGGUGGGUACACUGGCUACCAUUCCAAUCCCAAGAAAUCCAGAGGAGAGCCAGUUCAGAAGCCCUGUUUUGUCCCUUGGAAAAAUGGCAACAGUCACAAAUGACUGCUGAAAACACAAUGCUAGGAUGAGUAAUUAACUUCUGUCACAUCUUUGGAGCACUGGCACUUUAAGAUGGAGGCUGAAUGCACAGUGGGUAGGGAGCCCAGCCGUGGUCCCCACUGGGUCAAGCAGGAAGUAGAUGGCCCUCAGGUGUGAGCCUCUCACAGAGCAGGGCAGGAACACUGGUGCCAGGCAGCACAGAGAACAUCACUGUCUUCCUGGGCGUCCCAGGAAAACAUUGUAUAAACGUUUCAAUCAACUGUCAUUUGCUAUCACAAAUCAAUCACGUAACAAACCCCAGUGAGAUUACCCAGCUUCUAAAGUCAUCUUCAAGAAUGUGCCACAUGAGAAUGGGUGUUUCCUGUCUUCAAACCUCCUACCACACCACUCAGGUAGUGACACAGUGAAAUUAAUAAGCCUAGGCUGGCAUUAGAGGGAUGGAUAUGAAAGUGCUUUGACACCUGGGAGUACAGACACUUGGCAGGAACCUGUCUCGCUCCCAGCAAAUGCCUUUCUGUGUAAAUGAUGGGAUGUCUGGAGCCCCCAACUUCUAAGAUGCUCAGAAUGUUGGGCAUGAGGGCUGUGGGCUGAGGGACUGAUAUCACUGUGCAUGACAGGCAGGAGAGGCCUGGCUGAGCCUGCGCUAGGUAUGUGGUCUGCAGCAACUUUCUUGGGAAACCAACUUGAUCCUGGCCCUCUCAGCUUGCAGCAGAGAUUACAGUGGGAUGGGUGUGGAUGGGAGACACCGACUCACUGUGGGGCUCAGCAGGCCCCUAUGGAUUGGAAACAGGUGCCACUCUGAGCAUGCAUUCAACUUCCAUGACAGUCUCUCAUCCCUGAUCCACCUCCAUAGGGAAGCCACAGAAAGCAAAGGACCAGUGAUGGCAUGCCUUCAUCUCAGUCUUUUCUCAUUUUUAGUGUCCUGUGGUCAAUCAACAUCUAAAAAUAUUAAAUAGAAAGUUCUAGAAAUAGAUAAAUCCUGAGUUUUCAGCUGCACACUGUUCUGCUCAGCAUCAUGAAGCCACUCCCUCCCGCCUAGGACAGGCACCCAUCCUCGUGCACAUGCUGGAUGGGCUGCUCUCCUAAGCCGGUGAGGAGCCACCUUCAUUCUCUGCUUGACUGUUGUUCACAGGGUGCUUCCCUGCCAGUUUCAGGAACCGACUGAGUGUCCUGGACUGUAUCCCAUCCCAGGUAGGGAGAAUAAAUUAAACCCAUAAGCCCUAAAAUUCACAUCUUUAAACUGAACAGUUCAGUAGUUUACAGACCUGUAUAACCAUCACUAUAACCUAACUUGGGAACAUUUUCAUUGCUCCUAAACAUAAAUGUUACACCCACAGACAGCUGUUUCCAUUUCCCUACAAGUUGCAGCACUUGACAUCACUAACUUAAUUCAUGUCUCUAAGGCAGUGGUUCUCAACCUGUGAGCCGCAUCCUUUUGAGGAUCGAAUGAUCCUUUCAUCACAGGGCUUGAAUAUUACAUAUCCCGUGUAUCAUAUAUUUACAUUAAACUUGUAAGAGUAGCAACGUGACAGUUAUGAAAUAGCUAUGAACUAACUUUAUGGUUGGGUGUCACUGUAACACAAGGAGCUGUAUUAGAGGGUCACAGCAUCAGGAAGGUUGAGAAGCCCUGCUCCGAGGCCUAAGCUGGUCACUUCCUGUGAGUGAAACAUAGCAGGAGGCGAUUGUGAUAGGCUUACUUCCCUGACAGCCAGGUUUUGGAGCCUCUAUAUGCUGCAUGACCCCAAGACAACGGUAGGUGUGUUCUGUCACCUGUCACCACAGGAUAAACCCUGGAGAUGCUCCAUCCACAGUUUGGCUGCUAUGAGCAGUACAGAAGAGGAUUGUGGACAGGUUUCUGUGAGACAUUUCCAUUUCUCUUGGAGAAAAGCUGUUGGGCUGUUUGCAGAACUGUCACUGAGCUGAUAUGGAAGGUAUCUGACUUACAAACCUGAAGGGGACACACUAAACUCUCUGUCCCUGCUCGCCAGCAGCACAGUACUAACUUUUCCUGUAGAUGGGGCUGAGAGACUCUGACAAUCUG